rnacentral:rRNA from 1 species
GAUGAACGCUGGCGGCGUGCCUAAUACAUGCAAGUCGAGCGAACAGACGAGGAGCUUGCUCCUCUGACGUUAGCGGCGGACGGGUGAGUAACACGUGGAUAACCUACCUAUAAGACUGGGAUAACUUCGGGAAACCGGAGCUAAUACCGGAUAACAUGUUGAACCGCAUGGUUCAACAGUGAAAGACGGUCUUGCUGUCACUUAUAGAUGGAUCCGCGCCGCAUUAGCUAGUUGGUAAGGUAACGGCUUACCAAGGCAACGAUGCGUAGCCGACCUGAGAGGGUGAUCGGCCACACUGGAACUGAGACACGGUCCAUACUCCUACGGGAGGCAGCAGUAGGGAAUCUUCCGCAAUGGGCGAAAGCCUGACGGAGCAACGCCGCGUGAGUGAAGAAGGUCUUCGGAUCGUAAAACUCUGUUAUUAGGGAAGAACAAAUGUGUAAGUAACUAUGCACGUCUUGACGGUACCUAAUCAGAAAGCCACGGCUAACUACGUG